GCCCUGCCUCCAGAGUCAGAUCUUUCCUCCUGAGUUGUUCCUACCUCCUACCUCAAAGGCAAAGAUUGAGGUGAUGAUUCAUAAGCCAAGGAAUGCCAAGGAUUGCUGGCAAACCACCGGAAGCUAGGCAAGAGGACUAGAACAGAUUUUCUCACAGCCCUCAGAAUCAGCCAACCCCUGACCAAGCUUUGAUCUUGGACUUCUGGCCUCCAGAAUUGUGAAGACCAGGCUUUCCUCCCCUUUGCCUUCCACCAUGAUUGUAAGUUUCCUGAGGCCUCCCCAGCCAUGCUUCCUGUACAGCCUGCAAACUAGACUGGGCUUCUCCCCACACAUUCCUGGCGAAGAUCAAAAAUUAUACCCUGGGCCUGGCACAGUGGCUCACGCCUGUAAUCCCAGCACUUUGGGAGGCUAAGG